UACGAAGGGGGCUAGCGUUGUUCGGAUUUACUGGGCGUAAAGCGCACGUAGGCGGAUCGUUAAGUCGGGGGUGAAAUCCUGGAGCUCAACUCCAGAACUGCCUUCGAUACUGGAAGACUUGAGUCCGGGAGAGGUGAGUGGAACUGCGAGUGUAGAGGUGAAAUUCGUAGAUAUUCGCAAGAACACCAGUGGCGAAGGCGGCUCACUGGCCCGGUACUGACGCUGAGGUGCGAAAGCGUGGGGAGCGAACAGG
rnacentral:rRNA from 1 species